GGGGGUAUAACUCAGUGGCACAGUGUCAGCCUAGCAAGUGCAAGGUCUUGAGUUCAAUUCCCAGUACCCCUC
rnacentral:tRNA from 1 species